rnacentral:sRNA from 1 species
CCGGUAUGUGGCCCAGUCUGGCUAGUCCCGUGUAGCGCGCCCAUUUCGAUCCCAAGUUUCCAGCUCGGGUUUCCGGGCUCAGAAUUUUCCAGGAGUGGGUUCUUGGGCAGUGGCUGUCGGAGCAGGAAUGGCGCAGCUAGAGGGUUACUAUUUCUCGGCCGCCUUGAGCUGUACCUUUUUAGUGUCCUGCCUCCUCUUCUCCGCCUUCAGCCGGGCGCUGCGAGAGCCCUACAUGGACGAGAUCUUCCACCUGCCUCAGGCGCAGCGCUACUGUGAGGGCCAUUUCUCCCUUUCCCAGGUGGGGUGCCCAACCUGUCCCCACCCCAGGAGAGGCCUGAAAGGUCCCAGCGUCCCCAGCUCCUUCUCCCAUCCUUAGACUUUACUCGUCCCGUUCCACCCCACCCCAGCCUCAGAACAUGAAAGAAACUGGGUAUAGUCUUUUGUUCCUGUCUCUGAGAUCUGUGAAAUAUUUAUUAAAUGAAUGAAUAAACAGCAGAUCUGUCCCCCAGGAAGGAGUGAUCUGGGAGAAUACUUAAUGGGGAACUGAGCGCUCCUCUUGGCAGCUGACAAUAUCGAUCCCACUUUGUCUUUCCUUGUCUCAGGAUUAAAGACAUUCGGGUGCUCCUUGGAAAUACCAGAAAACUUCCCUUUAGCUCACCUGUCAAGCACUUCACUGUGCAUUUUAGGGGUGGGAUGGGGUGGGAUAGGGUGGACUGGAGGGAUCUUCAGCUACCAAAAAGUGACAAUUUAUAAUCACAAAUUCCUUCCCUGGGUAUUUUUAGUGAACUAUCUGUUAACUGGAUAAACUGGCAACGAGUCAAGUCACAUCAUUUUUGAAUAUAUAUUUGACUGUGCAAGUAUGUACAUAUAAAUAUCAAAAUAAACAUCCCCUUCUUUUCUGGUGACACAAUAUAGGGUACUGGCUAUAAAUAUAAAGUCUGUUUUAGAGAAAGAUCUGAUCUUAAAUCUUGGUGCUGUGAUUUACUAGUUUUGUGAUCUUGGAGAUGUUCUGAGUUUCAGAAAUCCAGGUUACUCAUCUGCAAAAUGACAAUAAUCUUUACUAUAGGGCAUAUUGUAACGUUACAAUACAGAGGGUUUGGCACAAUUUCUGUCUCAGUUUAUGUUAGCUGUCAUCAUGGAGCCUGUGGUCCACAUGUUUUCCUAAACUUAGAGUCCCAAACAAUGUUUCCACGCUUUUCAAAACUGGAGCAUUUGUAGUUUUUUUUUUCUUUUUUUAUCAAAAUAAAGGCUUUUAAAGAACACUUCUUGGAAAAUAGAAAUAAUUUUUAAGUUGUUGUUGUUUAUUGGUUGCUGCUACCUGAACCAUCACUAAGCUGGUCCGGGGGCAAAAAAUAAGAAAAACUAAUCCUGUUCUGCCAAGGACUUACUUAACCUUGUCAUAGAAUAACUUCUCAAAAUUUCUGAUUGUUGCUGGAGAUGAGACUUGGGCUUGACAUAUUUGUGUCUGUCUUGUUCAUAUUACCUCUUGCUUUUACUUCAUUUUCUUUCUUUUUAAAGUGGGAUCCCAUGAUUACUACAUUACCUGGCUUGUACCUGGUGUCAGUUGGAGUGGUCAAACCUGCCAUUUGGAUCUUUGGAUGGUCUGAACAUGUUGUCUGCUCCAUUGGGAUGCUCAGAUUUGUUAAUCUUCUCUUCAGUGUUGGUAACUUCUAUUUACUAUAUUUGCUUUUCCGCAAGGUACAACCCAGAAACAAGGCUGCCUCAAGUAUCCAGAGAGUCUUGUCAACAUUAACACUAGCAGUAUUUCCAACACUUUAUUUUUUUAACUUCCUUUAUUAUACAGAAGCAGGAUCUAUGUUUUUUACUCUUUUUGCAUAUUUGAUGUGUCUUUAUGGAAAUCAUAAAACUUCAGCCUUCCUUGGAUUUUGUGGCUUCAUGUUUCGGCAAACAAAUAUCAUCUGGGCUGUCUUCUGUGCAGGAAAUGUCAUUGCACAAAAGUUAACUGAGGCUUGGAAAACUGAGCUACAAAAGAAGGAAGACAGACU